rnacentral:ncRNA from 1 species
CGGAGAGACUUUCUGACCGUUAUACAGGGAGGCACUCGAUCAUGCUGUGGGAUCCCGGACCGGUGCCCUUAGACCCCCGUCGUCGAAGUAUGGUGUGAGGAAGGGCUCAAUGCCCA